UACGUAGGUGGCAAGCGUUGUCCGGCUUUACUGGGCGUAAAGAGCGCGCAGGCGGUCGUUCAAGUCGCGUGUGAAAGCCCCCGGCUCAACUGGGGAGGGUCACGCGAUACUGAUCGACUCGAAGGCAGGAGAGGGUAGUGGAAUUCCCGGUGUAGUGGUGAAAUGCGUAGAUAUCGGGAGGAACACCAGUGGCGAAGGCGACUACCUGGCCUGUUCUUGACGCUGAGGCGCGAAAGCUAGGGGAGCAAACGGG
rnacentral:rRNA from 1 species